rnacentral:rRNA from 1 species
GACGAACGCUGGCGGCGUGCUUAACACAUGCAAGUCGAACGAUGAAGCCCAGCUUGCUGGGUGGAUUAGUGGCGAACGGGUGAGUAACACGUGAGUAACCUGCCCUGGACUCUGGGAUAACCCCGAGAAAUCGGAGCUAAUACCGGAUAGGACCCUGUACCGCAUGGUGUGGGGUGGAAAGUUUUUCGGUUUGGGAUGGACUCGCGGCCUAUCAGCUUGUUGGUGAGGUAAUGGCUCACCAAGGCGUCGACGGGUAGCCGGCCUGAGAGGGUGACCGGCCACACUGGGACUGAGACACGGACCAGACUCCUACGGGAGGCAGCAGUGGGGAAUAUUGCCCAAUGGGCGCAAGCCUGAUGCAGCAACGCCGCGUGCGGGAUGACGGCCUUCGGGUUGUAAACCGCUUUUAGUAAGGAAGAAGGGGAGCUUGCUCCUUGACGGUACUUGCAGAAAAAGGACCGGCUAACUACGUGCCAGCCGCCGCCGUAAAAC